GGGUGUCAUGACUUUGCACGAAGAAGCCAGGGGGAUGAGAGGGGAUGGGAGGAUCAGGGAGGCCGGCUGGGACCGUUUUGGAUGUCUCUUUGAUAGGGGCCAAUUACCAUGUGGGGUGCGAGACGUGUUAUGACAGUUUAGUACCUGGUCGAGUCACUCCUGGGAAUCAGGUUGCUUGAAAUGCCGCCCUCGGGGGUGUGAUGGUGUUCCGGCUCAGAAAUUUAUGGAGAUAAAAGACUAUGUUUCCUUCUAACGAGCGGAAAUGGGUUUCAUCAGGAUAGCUAGAGAGUUCAAGAGAACGUGAAGUCGCUGAAGUGGAACCGGAGAGAGUUAACAUAACUUGGUAGCUAUAUUCUCUAUAGUCGCUUAGCUGUGGCUUUGGGGGGUGGACGCUACCUGUUGUUGCGCUGACUGCGUUGAUCAUGCUUUCCUGACAAUGUAGUGUUGCCCACAUUGUGGUGUCUUGCUUAUUGGGAGGUUUGUCAUGGUUAACGUCAAGCCUUAGUUUCUAGGGAGUCAGUGUGAAAGUUAACCACCUUUCCGACCCGUCUUGAAACACGGACCGAGGAGUGUAAUUUACACGCGAGUCAAAGGGCUGAGGAAACCUUAUGGCGUAAUGAAAGUAAAGACCGGUUAACCGGUUGACAUGGGAUCCGACUGAACUUCUUCGAAACGGAGCACCAUGGCCCUGUCUUGUCUGCUUGCAGAUGGGCAGCGGUAGAGCGUGUAGGUUGCAACCCGAAAGUGGUGAACUAUGCUUGAGCAGGACGAAGCCAGAGGAAACUCUGGUGGAAGGCCGUAUCGGUUCUGACGUGCAAACGAUCGAUAGACUUGAGUAUAGGGCGAAAGACGAAUCGAACCGUCUAGUAGCUGGUUCCUCCGAAAUUUCCCAGGAUACCUGAGGGGGAGGGGGGAG
rnacentral:rRNA from 1 species